ACUCCUACGGGAGGCAGCAGUGGGGGAUAUUGCACAAUGGAGGAAACCCUGAUGCAGCAACGCCGCGUGAGUGAUGACGGCCUUCGGGUUGUAAAGCUCUGUUAUAUGGGACGAACGGGCAUGGGGCGAAUACCCCCAUGCAGUGACGGUACCGUAAGAGAAAGCCACGGCUAACUACGUGCCAGCAGCCGCGGUAAU
rnacentral:rRNA from 1 species